CGCAUCUCUCAUAGUCUCGUUCGAUUCCCACUCCGGACCUCUCCUCUCUCGCCCACGACCUAUCCGCCGCCAUCGCUGUCCUUCCCUUUGGCUCGCAGAUCCUCGUGCCUCAGUCCUCGGCCGCCCUCUCCUUUUCCUGUCUUCUCUCAUGACGGCAACGAGCUCCACCUCAGGCCGGUUGCGGCACCACACCACGGGAGCCAGUACCUGAUUUUUCCGACACAGUAUCUGUAGUCCUUGGGAGUGUUGCUGCCAGAUCCAACCUCCCCGAGCACCCGGUCAGAGGUACGCCGCUGGACACGUUCCUUCAUCUGCACCAAGUUUAUUCUACAUCUAACUUGUUUAGGCCCUGCUUGGAUUCGGUGUAAGUUUAUACAACCGGAUUUAAAUUAUCAGCCGCAGUGUAUUUUCCGUCUGGAAUAAAAACGAGGGCUGGAGGUCUGUAUCGAUUACGGAGGUAUUUGGGAGGCAACCGACAAUCCAAGCGGGGCCUUAUAUGUGGAUGGCAACAGAAGAUGAUCAAUAACUUUCAAGAAAUCUGAACCUGAAGUUUUCAAAAGCAGCCAUUGUCAGGUCUUAUCAUAGAGCCAAUCGACAGUGAGCACUUGUGCCGUUGUGCGUGGGAAACCUUCAAGUUCUGUUGAGUUCAUGUGAUUUCUUACCCAACUCAUCCCUGCAGAAACGCCCUGGACUAAUUGCAUAACUGUUUUUGUUUUAGAGGUGGCAUCAGACAAGAGGUUGUUCGUCUUAUCAUAAAGUGCCACAAGAAUUAAAGCCCAACAGAAACUGAAUUUGUUUCCCAUUUACCCAAAUUGAAAUUAUACUGCAGCAGCUUCUCCGAGAGCUCUCGGAUCGACAGGUGAAGGUACAAGAUGGUGUCCAUUCAACGAAGGGGUGGCAUUUCGAUCCAUGGUGCCACUGCACAUUCAGCUCCAUCUCCAUCUGUCUUGGCUGGCGAUCAUCCCUUCUUCCUAGCCGCCAGCCUCCGUGAUAAUUUUAGAUUGUUGGAUUGUGAAGCGAGAUUCUAGCCAUCAGCGGAGAGAUGAUUUAUUUGGGAUGAAAGGAUCUCCCAGUCUUGCAAAUUACUGUCAAUCUGCCAUUCCUCCAAUCAGUGAAGGCCAGCUGCUGCUCCUGAUCAUGGUUUAACUUUCAUAUGUGUUUUGAACUAUAUUCAUACUCCAUGUGCUUUGGAGUAUAUUCAUAGUUCAGUAGCGAGUAUAAAUCAACUCGAUGUACAGAUGGACAUAUACAAUUAUAAAAAAGAAUAGACCUCCCAGCUCAAUAUUUUUCUCUUUUGUGUUAUUACUUACUACUGGUUGGAGUACCUUGUAUUUCGUAAGGAAAGGGA
rnacentral:rRNA from 1 species